rnacentral:rRNA from 1 species
UGCCAGCAGCCGCGGUAAUACGGAGGGUGCAAGCGUUACUCGGAAUCACUGGGCGUAAAGAGCGUGUAGGCGGAUAGAUAAGUCAGAAGUGAAAUCCAAUAGCUCAACUAUUGAACUGCUUUUGAAACUGUUUAUCUAGAAUAUGGGAGAGGUAGAUGGAAUUUCUGGUGUAGGGGUAAAAUCCGUAGAGAUCAGAAGGAAUACCGAUUGCGAAGGCGAUCUACUGGAACAUUAUUGACGCUGAGACGCGAAAGCGUGGGGAGCAAACAGGAUUAGAUA